UACCAGCACCCCGAGUGGUCGGGACGAUUAUUGGGCCUAAAGCAUCCGUAGCCGGUUCUACAAGUCUUCCGUUAAAUCCACCUGCUUAACAGAUGGGCUGCGGAGGAUACUAUAGAGCUAGGAGGCGGGAGAGGCAAGCGGUACUUAGUGGGUAGGGGUAAAAUCCGUUGAUCCAUUGAAGACCGCCAGUGGCGAAGGCGGCUUGCCAGAACGCACUCGACGGUGAGGGAUGAAAGCUGGGGGAGCAAACCGGG
rnacentral:rRNA from 1 species